rnacentral:rRNA from 1 species
UAGGGAAUAUUAGAAGUGGGCGCAAGUCUGAUCUAGCAACACCGCGUGUGCGAAGAAGGCCUUCGGGUUGUAAAGCACUUUUUGGAAGGAUUAGGAAGGAAUGUACUUCCAGAAUAAGUCUCGGCUAACUACGUGCCAGCAGCCGCGGUAACACGUAGGAGGCAAACGUUAUCCGGAUUUACUGGGCGUAAAGCGCGUGUAGGUGGUUCUGUAAGUAGGGCGUGAAAGCUCCUGGCUCAACUGGGAGAGGCCGUUCUAAACUGCAGAGCUAGAGGAUGGUAGAGGGAGGUGGAAUUCCGGGUGUAGCGGUGGAAUGCGCAGAUAUCCGGAGGAACACCAGUGGCGAAAGCGGCCUCCUGGACCAUUCCUGACACUCAGACGCGAAAGCUAGGGUAGCAAACGG